AGCUUUGCGCAGUGGCGAUAUCGUAAACAAUGAGGUACAUCCGAGGUGCGAUUAUUGCUAGUUGAAAACUAGUGAAUGAUAGAAACUAUUUACGAAUUCAAUUGCAAACAAAUCCCAAUUUAUGCAUUACGGUAGUAGU